UACGGAGGGUGCAAGCGUUGCUCGGAAUUAUUGGGCGUAAAGGGUAGGUAGGUGGUCUCAUUUGUCUGAGGUGAAAUCCUUGGGCUUAACCUGAGAAGGGCCUCAGAAACGGUGAGACUAGAGUUCUGGAGAGGGUCGUGGAAUUCCCGGUGUAGCGGUGAAAUGCGUAGAGAUCGGGAGGAACACCAGAGGCGAAGGCGGCGACCUGGACAGACACUGACACUCAACUACGAAAGCGUGGGGAGCAAACAGG
rnacentral:rRNA from 1 species